rnacentral:rRNA from 1 species
CUGAGGCGUGAUGACGAGGCACUACGGUGCUGAAGCAACAAAUGCCCUGCUUCCAGGAAAAGCCUCUAAGCAUCAGGUAACAUCAAAUCGUACCCCAAACCGACACAGGUGGUCAGGUAGAGAAUACCAAGGCGCUUGAGAGAACUCGGGUGAAGGAACUAGGCAAAAUGGUGCCGUAACUUCGGGAGAAGGCACGCUGACACGUAGGUGAAGUGAUUUACUCAUGGAGCUGAAGUCAGUCGAAGAUACCAGCUGGCUGCAACUGUUUAUUAAAAACACAGCACUGUGCAAACACGAAAGUGGACGUAUACGGUGUGACGCCUGCCCGGUGCCGGAAGGUUAAUUGAUGGGGUCAGCGCAAGCGAAGCUCCUGAUCGAAGCCCCGGUAAACGGCGGCCGUAACUAUAACGGUCCUAAGGUAGCGAAAUUCCUUGUCGGGUAAGUUCCGACCUGCACGAAUGGCGUAAUGAUGGCCAGGCUGUCUCCACCCGAGACUCAGUGAAAUUGAACUCGCUGUGAAGAUGCAGUGUACCCGCGGCAAGACGGAAAGACCCCGUGAACCUUUACUAUAGCUUGACACUGAACAUUGAGCCUUGAUGUGUAGGAUAGGUGGGAGGCUUUGAAGUGUGGACGCCAGUCUGCAUGGAGCCGACCUUGAAAUACCACCCUUUAAUGUUUGAUGUUCUAACGUGGACCCGUGAUCCGGGUUGCGGACAGUGUCUGGUGGGUAGUUUGACUGGGGCGGUCUCCUCCUAAAGAGUAACGGAGGAGCACGAAGGUUGGCUAAUCCUGGUCGGACAUCAGGAGGUUAGUGCAAUGGCAUAAGCCAGCUUGACUGCGAGCGUGACGGCGCGAGCAGGUGCGAAAGCAGGUCAUAGUGAUCCGGUGGUUCUGAAUGGAAGGGCCAUCGCUCAACGGAUAAAAGGUACUCCGGGGAUAACAGGCUGAUACCGCCCAAGAGUUCAUAUCGACGGCGGUGUUUGGCACCUCGAUGUCGGCUCAUCACAUCCUGGGGCUGAAGUAGGUCCCAAGGGUAUGGCUGUUCGCCAUUUAAAGUGGUACGCGAGCUGGGUUUAGAACGUCGUGAGACAGUUCGGUCCCUAUCUGCCGUGGGCGCUGGAGAACUGAGGGGGGCUGCUCCUAGUACGAGAGGACCGGAGUGGACGCAUCACUGGUGUUCGGGUUGUCAUGCCAAUGGCACUGCCCGGUAGCUAAAUGCGGAAGAGAUAAGUGCUGAAAGCAUCUAAGCACGAAACUUGCCCCGAGAUGAGUUCUCCCUGAGACUUUAGGUCUCCUGAAGGAACGUUGAAGACGACGACGUUGAUAGGCCGGGUGUGUAAGCGCAGCGAUGCGUUGAGCUAACCGGUACUAAUGAACCGUGAGGCUUAACCUU